rnacentral:lncRNA from 1 species
GCGGCUAUAACCAUACAACUCAUCUUGAUAUCUAGAGACCGGAAACACAAAGAUUUGAUGUUGCCUACGACCGCAGCUAGGUCGUAGCUUUUCGUUAUGUAUUUAUAGAUAGAUACAUGGGCUCUAGGCCCCCCACCCCGCCACACACGACUGGCUCCACAGAGCCCGACACAUUCGGAUCAUCAAGGGACAUGCAGCACACACGGUCAUGAUUGGGAGAGACUCUGACGGUCGUGUCUGGCCAGCGCACAUCACCUGCCAUGCACAAUUCGACCUUAUAGGAAAACUUACUAUGACUCUACUAGAAACUCUUCAUGAGAUUAUAGGAAACUUUACAUGACCCAAUGUAAAACUUCUAACAAUCAAGUCUUUGAGUUGCUCGCCAAGGAUUAAUGGCUAGUCAAGCUCAGCAAAUGCUAGUUUGCUCAGGAGCCCAUUGCUCAUUUGGGACAUGUGGUCAGCUCUUAGGGGGUUAGUACUAAUCUUUCCAAGUUGGAGUCCAUCUUGUUAGAAUCGGCGUAUAGAAAUAUGAAGUAAACGAAAUCAAUCACAGCGGAGACACACGAUUUACGUGGAAAACCCCUCCAAUGCGAAGGGGAAAAACCACGGGCGCCAGCUAGCAACUCUUCUCACUAUUUUCAAGUGUCGGGUUACAAGUUACAACACCAUACAGUGGCUUACA